AAGUCGUAACAAGGUUUCCGUAGGUGAACCUGCGGAAGGAUCAUUAAUGAAUUUGAAAGGGGGGUUGUUGCUGGCUCUACUGAGCAUUUUUGUGCACACCCCCUGAUCUCAUCCACUUUACACCUGUGCACCCUUGCAUGAGUUUCUGUGGAAAGAAAAAAAAGGGCCUCUAAAAAAAAGGGGGGGGCUGCUUGCUUCUUUUCCAGAACUUGUGUAUUUUAUCACAAACUCUUGUAUGUUAUAGAAUGUAAUCACACUUUGCUGUAAAAAUGCAAACUUUGUACAACUUUCAACAACGGAUCUCUUGGCUCUC
rnacentral:misc_RNA from 1 species